UACGUAGGGUGCGAGCGUUGUCCGGAAUUAUUGGGCGUAAAGGGCUUGUAGGCGGUUUGUCGCGUCGGGAGUGAAAACCCAGGGCUUAACUCUGGGCUGGCUUUCGAUACGGGCAGACUAGAGGUAUGCAGGGGAGAACGGAAUUCCUGGUGUAGCGGUGAAAUGCGCAGAUAUCAGGAGGAACACCGGUGGCGAAGGCGGUUCUCUGGGCAUUACCUGACGCUGAGGUGCGAAAGCGUGGGGAGCAAACAGG
rnacentral:rRNA from 1 species